AUUGAACGCUGGCGGAAUGCUUUACACAUGCAAGUCGAACGGCAGCAUAGAGAGCUUGCUCUCUGAUGGCGAGUGGCGAACGGGUGAGUAAUAUAUCGGAACGUACCCAGUAAUGGGGGAUAACGAAUCGAAAGAUUCGCUAAUACCGCAUACGCCCUACGGGGGAAAGCGGGGGAUCGUAAGACCCCGCGUUAUUGGAGCGGCCGAUAUCUGAUUAGCUAGUUGGUGAGGUAAAGGCUCACCAAGGCGACGAUCAGUAGCUGGUCUGAGAGGACGACCAGCCACACUGGAACUGAGACACGGUCCAGACUCCUACGGGAGGCAGCAGUGGGGAAUUUUGGACAAUGGGGGCAACCCUGAUCCAGCCAUUCCGCGUGAGUGAAGAAGGCCUUCGGGUUGUAAAGCUCUUUCGCAAGGGAAGAAAACUUAUCUACUAAUACUAGGUGAGGCUGACGGUACCUUGAUAAGAAGCACCGGCUAACUACGUGCCAGCAGCCGCAGUAA
rnacentral:rRNA from 1 species